rnacentral:rRNA from 1 species
UACAGAGGUCUCAAGCGUUGUUCGGAUUCAUUGGGCGUAAAGGGUGCGUAGGCGGCGCGCUAAGUCGGGUGUGAAAUUUCGGAGCUUAACUCCGAAACUGCAUUUGAUACUGGCGUGCUUGAGGACUGGAGAGGAGACUGGAAUUCAUGGUGUAGCAGUGAAAUGCGUAGAGAUCAUGAGGAAGACCAGUGGCGAAGGCGGGUCUCUGGACAGUUCCUGACACUGAGGCACGAAGGCCAGGGGAGCAAACGGG